UUUUUUUUUUUUUUUUUUUUUUUUUUUUUCAAAAAAAUUAUGCGUUAUUUAGAAAAACAAA
rnacentral:ribozyme from 17 species